AUGAGUCUAAUCAGUUUAUCAUGUUAACAGUAACUAGAUUGUUGCCAAACAGCCUUGUGUUCUAAGGGACCCCCCACACGGAAGAAACCCCACUUAAAGAAGUGUAAAGGAUUUUCUUCUACCUUUGAACUUUUUUCUCUCCUUAAACACCGUUCUCAGAGAGAGAAAGGUAAAAGUUGACUUGCUCAGGCAAGCGGCAGGGAGGCGCAGCAGCCACGCGGGGCCACUCCUCGUGCUUUCCACGCAAGGCCACAGCCACCUCACCAGGAGAUCUCCUCCCCGGUCUGCCACAAAUAUACUGCCUUGCUCUACCGGCGUCUUGCUGGCACCUUCCAGAGCCUACUUUCUUAGACUUGUGUCGGGCCAUCUUCAGCCCCAGAGGUUUUGAUUCUUCGUGUGGGAUGUGGCCCAAGAACUGGCAUUUUAACGGGAGCCCUGUGUGCUGCUUUGGGCCACAUCUGGAGAACGCCUGAUCGAGAAUGACGAUCACAAAGGUUUACAGGUCACAACGUCCCCACAUCAUCCGGUGGGUUUGACUUUAUUAAGCAAAGGACUGCCCUGGAGUCAUCACCCCAGCCCUGGUCCGUCUGAAUAAACUGACUGUAAAGCUGUUCCCCAACGGUCUUCGAUGCGACAAGGGGAGGAGAUGCGGACAGUGUCAUUCAUUCCUCCAGCGUGCUUGCUGUUUAACAAGUAGUACACGAGUGGAAAUCUAUCAGUAUUGCUUCGCUAAUUCUAACAAGCUACCGUUCGAAUGUAAGGUGUUCAUACUAGGGGAAAAGGGGUGCACGGUAUGUGGGGGCUCUCUGUACCAUCGUCUCAAUUUCUCUGUAAGUCUAAAAACCCUUCUAAAAAUAGGCUCUUUUUUUAAAUUGUUUAUUCAUUUUUGAGAGAGAGAGGGAGACACAGAAUCGGAAGCAGGCUCUAGGCUCUGAGCCAUCAGCCCAGAGCCCGACGCGGGGCUCGAACUCAUGCACCGCGAGAUCGUGACCUGAGCUGAAGUCAGACGCUUAACCGACUGAGCCACCCAGGUGCCCCCCUAGUAGGCUAUUUAAAACAAACAAACAAACAAACAAACUAUGAUACAUGCUACCCACCAGAAUGCCUUAAAGUAAAAAGAAAGUUCCAAGUGUUGGCAAGACUGAGCAGCACCAAGAAGUCCCCCACACUGCUGAUGGGGCUGUAAGCUGGUAUGCCCACUUUCUAAAACUGCCUGGCAGGACCCACUAAGGCUACAUAUUUGUGUUCGCUACGGUUUUGCACUCCUGAGUAUAUACCCAACAGAAACAGGUCCAGGAGCUCACCGAAAGAUGCAUAUGGAGCCGCAGUAUUCAUAACCAAUCCAGACUGGGUCUUAGCAAAAUGCCCGUCAAUUAAAAAACAACAACCGCUAAGUCAAUUGUGGUAUGUUCCCAGACUGAGAUAUCGCACAGCAGCGCAAAGAAAGAAACCUGAAGUAUGUGCAGCAACAAAGGUAACACGGAGGGAAAGAAAGGACACACAGAAGAAGGCACGUCAUGUGAUUCUACUUGUAAACAGUUCCAAGUAAUCCGUGCCAAUAAAAGCCAGGAUAAGGGCAAAAGGUGCGGGUAGAGGUGAAAGAGCUUUUCUGGGGCCGGUGAUAAUCUGCUUGGGGCAGGGUUCCGGGCACGUGGGCGUGUUCCGUCUGUGAAAAUUCACUGAGCUGUAUGCUUAGCAUUUGUGCCUUUUUCUGUGCAGAGGUAGGUCACGGCAGUUUUUACAAAAGCAACUGAUGAUUUCGCUGGGGAAAGAAUAUAGAACGAACCAGCCCAGUGGGGUUACCCAACUAGACAGCCUCGGUCUGAAUCCCACGGUUACCGCCUAUACGCUGCCUGACCCCAGGCUCCCGGGCACCGGUCCAGAGGCUUGACAACGAGCCACAUUUGGGACUGCCAGAAACUGCCACAAAAGAGUCCGCCCAGAGGGCCUGUGGGAAUCGCUGGGGAGGAGAGCGCGAUUCAGUCAGGAGCCGCACCAGGCGCCAUGCCAGGCCAGGCCGGAGGCCCCUGACGCUACCUGCUGGCUGGGGCAGGCCCUGGGCCCUCGCUUUUCCUCCAGCUCCCUGCCGGAACCUUCCUUCCCAUCGCGGGGCUCCUCCAAACACAGCCCGCUGGGCCGGGGCUGCUUUCACAGGCCAGAGAGGGGAAGCAACAGACCCAAGAGCAGGAGCGUCCUACCUUCCAGAAUGGAGCCCGUGCACACCACGGCACCCUCUCUCCACCGAGUCUGUUCUCCCCUGAACACCCCUGGCGGACGAGGAACCCCCCCUUACAGGCCUCCUCCAGAGUCCCCACAAUCAGGUGUCCGUGGCAGGCUGCGAUCCG